CCACAUGCCCAUGACGUGAAAUUAAAAAAUUUGAAUCUUAACACGCCUUUCUCUCUCAUGCAAACCGAGUAACAAUUAAUGCGUUGCCUUCUCUCUCUCCUCUUUCUACAAAUGAGGUCCUCCUUCACAACCUCUCUCUUAUGUAACAAAGGCCUCCACCUCCAUCCUCUCUUCCUCCUUCUUCUUCGCCUUUCCGGCUCCAGCUCCAAAAACCACCAACCGGCCUCUCAAACUCUCCUUUGUCUUCUACACUAAGUUCGAUCCCGAUUUCCGACUUAGAUACGUUGCCAAAGAUUUUGAAGUGGAACUAGGCUACAAGGAGGAGGUUGGAUAUUUCGGUAGUGGCACUGAGCUCUGGAGUUCCGGCGACAGCUGCGAGGGAUAUUGUGACGGAGGAGCCUCUCUCUCUCUCUUGUUUCUUUCUUCGGCAGAGAAAAGAGAGGAGUAUGGCAGAGCCAUUAGCCUUCGACUAUGUUCCGGUGUAUUCCUUUCCUUGGUCGGACUGGCUGGUUUCUCUAGUUUUGGUGGAAGCUUAUGUUUAGUGUGGCUCGGACUUGUCGCUGCAAUGGUGGCCGCAUCGAUGGCAUCAAAUGGAAUGAAGUGGACUUGGCAUGGUUGGGAGGAGUGGUGACGUCGUGGCGGCACGAAGUAGUGACCGUCAAGGCCUAACCGUGGAAAAGGCUGGGCAAAGUGAAAAUCGAAUAUUGGCCAUAUCUCCUCUUUAUCAUUUGGGAUUUUGUGCUUAAUCGCUAAGAUUGUCUUUCAAAAGUUGGAAAGAAUUCUUCUCUUUUCUUUGGUUGAGUAAAUGGGUGCCUUGUUAGUUUGCUUUUGGCAUAUCUAAUACUGAAUUCUUUCCAUGUACGCUUUGAUCAUUUGAAGAAG
rnacentral:lncRNA from 1 species